AGAAUAAUUAAAAGGUCCUUCAUAUUUUCCAGACAAGAGGACUGUGCAUUCGGGGGACACCUGUUUCGAUUUCACAUGCCUCGUGCCAGUAAGCCUGUUUGGAAGGUCUUCAGUGGAUCUCAGGGGCUCCUCUGCUGAUUAUCAACAGUUGCCUCAUUCAGCUGUUUGGUUUUUAUACAAUGGUGAAUUGAAGCUUGAUUUCAUUCAACCUCCAAGUCACUUUUUA
rnacentral:lncRNA from 1 species